rnacentral:rRNA from 1 species
UACAGAGGGGGCAAGCGUUGUUCGGAAUUACUGGGCGUAAAGGGCGCGUAGGCGGCCCGCUAAGUCGAACGUGAAAUCCCCGAGCUCAACUCGGGAACUGCGUCCGAUACUGGCGGGCUUAAAUCCGGGAGAGGGAUGCGGAAUUCCAGGUGUAGCGGUGAAAUGCGUAGAUAUCUGGAGGAACACCGGUGGCGAAGGCGGCAUCCUGGACCGGCAUUGACGCUGAGGCGCGAAAGCUAGGGGAGCAAACGGG